rnacentral:piRNA from 1 species
ACCUGGAACUGGAGCCAUGUAGG